CCUACGGGGGGCAGCAGUGAGGAAUAUUGGUCAAUGGUCGCGAGCCUGAACCAGCCAAGUAGCGUGAAGGAUGACGGUCCUAUGGGUUGUAAACUUCUUUUAUCCGGGAAUAAAAUGCGCCACGCGUGGCGUUCUGAGAGUACCCGAUGAAUAAGCAUCGGCUAACUCCGUGCCAGCAGCCGCGGUAAUACGGAGGAUCCGAGCGUUAUCCGGAUUUAUUGGGUUUAAAGGGUGCGUAGGCGGAAGGUAAAGUCAGCGGUAAAAUUGGGGGGCUCAACCUCUUAGAGCCGUUGAAACUGGUUUGCUUGAGUGAGCGAAAAGUAUGCGGAAUGCGUGGUGUAGCGGUGAAAUGCAUAGAUAUCACGCAGAACCCCGAUUGCGAAGGCAGCCUGCCAAGCCAUGACUGACGCUGAUGCACGAAAGCGUGGGGAUCAAACAGGAUUAGAUACCCCGGUAGUC
rnacentral:rRNA from 1 species